rnacentral:snoRNA from 1 species
AAUUCUGGACUGAUGAUUGCAUAGUUCAUCUGAGAGCAAAUGAUAACAUAUAUGUUUAGCAAAUGUCUUUCGCUCCUAUCUGAUCAGAGUU